rnacentral:rRNA from 1 species
AACGAACGCUGGCGGCAGGCUUAACACAUGCAAGUCGAGCGCCCCGCAAGGGGAGCGGCAGACGGGUGAGUAUCGCGUGGGAAUCUACCCAUCUCUACGGAAUAACGCAUGGAAACGUGUGCUAAUACCGUAUACGUCCUUCGGGAGAAAGAUUUAUCGGAGAUGGAUGAGCCCGCGUUGGAUUAGCUAGUUGGUGGGGUAAAGGCCUACCAAGGCGACGAUCCAUAGCUGGUCUGAGAGGAUGAUCAGCCACACUGGGACUGAGACACAGCCCAGACUCCUACGGGAGGCAGCGGUGGGGAAUAUUGGACAAUGGGCGCAAGCCUGAGCCAGCCAUGCCGCGUGAGUGAUGAAGGCCCUAGGGUUGUAAAGCUCUUUCACCGGUGAAGAUAAUGACGGUAACCGGAGAAGAAGCCCCGGCUAACUUCGUGCCAGCCGCCGCAGUAAUAC